GCUAGAAGCUAGCUCAUCUUGUACCAACUUUACUUGAUUCAGUUAGACGCGCUACUGGAUGCUCUGCGUCAAGAGUUCAGCUAGCAGCUAGCUCAGUUAGCCCACGAGCCUUAACUUAGCCUUGUUAAGCUAGCACAACAAGCCUUUUAUAUUAACCGUGUUCAGCUAGCAUUCCUAGCCUUGACUUUUUUCUAUUUUUGCGCUCCUAACAAAUAAGAUAAGGUACAAAGACUGUCUGACGGAGGAGAGGGAGGCGGUGGUUCAGCAGGUCAGUGACCUGGAGCAGACCGUCCUGAAGCCCAGGGGAUGUUCCCACUGCAGCAGACAGUACCACUGCCCCCUGCAGGACAGGGGCAGCAACUCCAGGCAUCGGCACCAGUCUAUGUGUGGUGCAGAGUUCCGGGCUGACCAGCAGGGGGAGCCGUGGUCAGCCCUGUGUGAGGACAAAGUCAUCACUCAGGUGGGAGGCGUGGUCGACACGGAGCAGAAACCUCCUUGAGGUUCUCCCUCCGACCAGACGAGUGUGGCUCUCCUCCCAGCCCUCUUUAGAAGAUCGAAGAACACCAGAGAGACUGUACGUCGGAACUCCGUCCGCACUCUGGUUUCACUGUUGUUAUUGUGGAGUGAACACUGAAAUAAUAAAGAGACAAUGAAGACAUGCUGUGUUGAGGUUCCUUCUCGUCUACACAUGCACCAAACAUGCACGUCUGGUUCCGUUUAGCGGUAAUAGCACGGUAAUCACCACCUGCAGACCAGCGAAUGCACCUGAGAGUUUGGGUUUGGUGUGUUCUCCUGCCAGACACUGGGGGGAACAAAACAGCUGGUGUCAACAGGAAACGAGGCUAGG
ensembl:lncRNA